GAUGAAGAACGUAGCGAAAUGCGAGAAGUAGUGUGAAUUGCAGAAUUCAGUGAAUCAUCGAAUCUUUGAACGCACAUUGCGCCCCUUGGUAUUCCAUGGGGCAUGCCUGUUCGAGCGUCAUUUGUACCUUCAAGCUUUGCUUGGUGUUGGGUGUUUGUCUCGCCUUUGCGUGUAGACUCGCCUUAAAAUAAUUGGCAGCCGGCGUAUUGAUUUCGGAGCGCAGUACAUCUCGCGCUUUGCACUCAUAACGACAGCGUCCAAAAGUACAUUUUACACUCUUGACCUCGGAUCAGGUAGGGAUACCCGCUGAACUUAAGCAUAUCAAUAAGCGGAGGA
rnacentral:misc_RNA from 1 species